GAUGAAGAACGUAGCGAAAUGCGAUAAGUAAUGUGAAUUGCAGAAUUCAGUGAAUCAUCGAAUCUUUGAACGCACAUUGCGCCCGCCAGCAUUCUGGCGGGCAUGCCUGUCCGAGCGUCAUUUCAACCCUCGAACCCCUCCGGGGGGUCGGCGUUGGGGAUCGGCACUUACCUGCCGGCCCCGAAAUACAGUGGCGGUCUCGCCGCAGCCUCUCCUGCGCAGUAGUUUGCACACUCGCACCGGGAGCGCGGCGCGUCCACGGCCGUAAAACAACCCAAACUUCUGAAAUGUUGACCUCGGAUCAGGUAGGAAUACCCGCUGAACUUAAGCAUAUCAAUAAGCGGAGGA
rnacentral:misc_RNA from 1 species